GAUGAACGCUGGCGGCGUGCCUAAUACAUGCAAGUCGAGCGAACGGACGAGAAGCUUGCUUCUCUGAUGUUAGCGGCGGACGGGUGAGUAACACGUGGAUAACCUACCUAUAAGACUGGGAUAACUUCGGGAAACCGGAGCUAAUACCGGAUAAUAUUUUGAACCGCAUGGUUCAAAAGUGAAAGACGGUCUUGCUGUCACUUAUAGAUGGAUCCGCGCUGCAUUAGCUAGUUGGUAAGGUGACGGCUUACCAAGGCAACGAUGCAUAGCCGACCUGAGAGGGUGAUCGGCCACACUGGAACUGAGACACGGCCCAGACUCCUACGGGAGGCAGCAGUAGGGAAUCUUCCGCAAUGGGCGAAAGCCUGACGGAGCAACGCCGCGUGAGUGAUGAAGGUCUUCGGAUCGUAAAACUCUGUUAUUAGGGAAGAACAUAUGUGUAAGUAACUGUGCACAUCUUGACGGUACCUAAUCAGAAAGCCACGGCUAACUACGUGCCAGCAGCCGCGGUAGUACGUAGGUGGCAAGCGUUAUCCGGAAUUAUUGGGCGUAAAGCGCGCGUAGGCGGUUUUUUAAGUCUGAUGUGAAAGCCCACGGCUCAACCGUGGAGGGUCAUUGGAAACUGGAAAACUUGAGUGCAGAAGAGGAAAGUGGAAUUCCAUGUGUAGCGGUGAAAUGCGCAGAGAUAUGGAGGAACACCAGUGGCGAAGGCGACUUUCUGGUCUGUAACUGACGCUGAUGUGCGAAAGCGUGGGGAUCAAACAGGAUUAGAUACCCUGGUAGUCCACGCCGUAAACGAUGAGUGCUAAGUGUUAGGGGGUUUCCGCCCCUUAGUGCUGCAGCUAACGCAUUAAGCACUCCGCCUGGGGAGUACGACCGCAAGGUUGAAACUCAAAGGAAUUGACGGGGACCCGCACAAGCGGUGGAGCAUGUGGUUUAAUUCGAAGCAACGCGAAGAACCUUACCAAAUCUUGACAUCCUUUGACAACUCUAGAGAUAGAGCCUUCCCCUUCGGGGGACAAAGUGACAGGUGGUGCAUGGUUGUCGUCAGCUCGUGUCGUGAGAUGUUGGGUUAAGUCCCGCAACGAGCGCAACCCUUAAGCUUAGUUGCCAUCAUUAAGUUGGGCACUCUAAGUUGACUGCCGGUGACAAACCGGAGGAAGGUGGGGAUGACGUCAAAUCAUCAUGCCCCUUAUGAUUUGGGCAACACACGUGCUACAAUGGACAAUACAAAGGGCAGCGAAACCGCGAGGUCAAGCAAAUCCCAUAAAGUUGUUCUCAGUUCGGAUUGUAGUCUGCAACUCGACUACAUGAAGCUGGAAUCGCUAGUAAUCGUAGAUCAGCAUGCUACGGUGAAUACGUUCCCGGGUCU
rnacentral:rRNA from 1 species